AACCCGCGCCUCGAUGAUCGCCGCCGCCUUCGGGUUGACGUUCUUGAUGUUGACGGCACGGUUGAGAAUCUCGGGCCGCUGCUUGUCGGAAAGCUGCAGCAGCACCU
rnacentral:sRNA from 1 species